UGGCACAGUGGUAGAGUAUCUGCUUUGAAUGCAGAAGGUCCUAGGCUCAGUCCCCAGCAUAUCAA
rnacentral:tRNA from 1 species